rnacentral:rRNA from 1 species
AAGCAUUAAAUGAAUGCCUAAACAUCAAAAAAUAUUACGGACGUUUAACGACGAAAUGUUGUAGCGAGUGUUAUUAAACGCUGAGACCUACAGAUAUCCGUAUCGGAAAACCGAGCUUCGAUAAUGAAGCUUUUUUAUGAAAAUAUGUUUUAUAUAAUCGUAAAAAUUUUAAAACUUGGCGAACUGAACCAUCUAAGUAGCUAAGUAAAAAAAUCAACCGAGAAAUCGUUAGUAGUGGCGAGCGAAAAUGAUAAAGACUUAAAACAACAAAAUCCGUUUUUUGAAUCCAAAGAGCCAUAGAAGGUAACAUUUAUAUGAAGCCCUGUAAAUUAAACUCUUGUUGUUUUUUUAGUAAAACGGUACAAGUCAUGUACUGUUUGAAGAUUGGGGGACCACCCUCAAAGUCUAGAAAAUUUUGAUGAUUAAUAGUGUAUUAGUACCGUGAGGGAAAGGUGAAAUAAGAAUUUAGUGAAAUAAAUUUGAAAAAAUACUGAAAUUUAAUGCUGACAAGCAGUUGAAGCUUUUUUAAAUAACAAAAGUGACAACGUACCUUUUGCAUAAUGGAUCAACGAGUUUAUUUUAGUGGCGAGCUUAAACAUAUGUGUAGGCGAAAAAAAAUUAAGUUUUAAAAAGCUUUUAAGUCUCUAAAGUAAGACCCGAAACUAAGUGAUCUAACCAUGAGCAGGUUGAAUUUAUAGCGGUAACGCUUAUUGGAGGACCGAACCCGUGUAUGUAGAAAAAUACUGGGAUGACUUGUGGUUAGGGGUGAAAGGCCAAUCAAACUUAGAGAUAGCUGGUUUUCUGCGAAAUCUAUUUAAGUAGAGCGUCCAAAAACUUUACUCUGGGGUAGAGCACUCGAUAAAUGAUGGGAACGUAAAGUUUUACUGAAUUUAAUGAAACUCCGAAUACUAGGUAAAAGAUAUUGGACAGACAGACUAUGAGUGCUAAGAUUCAUAGUCAAGAGGGAAACAGCCCAGACUAUUCGUUAAGGUCCCCAAAAGUAGUUAAGUGAAAAAGUUGUGAAAAAUUAAAAACAAUCGGUAGGUAGGCUUGGAAGCAGCCAUCCUUUAAAGAAAGCGUAACAGCUCACUGGUUUAGAUUUUUUGCGGCGAAAAUGUAUAGGGGCUAAAACUACUUACCGAAACGAUAGAUUUAAAUAUUUUAAAUGGUAGCAGAACGUUCUGUAAAUCAAAGAAGAUUUAUGGUGACAUAAAUUGAAGAAAUCAGAAUUGAAAAUGUUGAUAUGAGUAGCGAUAAACAGUGUGUAAAACACUGUCGCCUUAAGUUCAAGGUUUCCGAGACAAGGCUAAUCCGUCUCGGGUUAAUCGGUCCCUAAGAAUAUAACGAAAGUUUUUUUUGAUGGGUGAAUAUAUAAAUUUUAUAUUUUUGUGUGAAUGACAAAGUAUGAAAACUAUUUCUAUUUCAAGGUUAUAAUAGGAGUUUUUGAUUAUUUUCAAGAAAUAGUUCACACAAUUAAAAAACCGUACUGUAAACCGACACAGGUGAACAUAUUGAGUAAAUUAAGGCGCUUGGGUGAAUUGUGUUGAAGGAACUCGGCAAAAUGACUCCGUAACUUCGGGAGAAGGAGUGGCUUUUGUAGGGCAACCUAUAAAAGCUGUCACAAAAUCAAGGACAGCGACUGGUUAAUAAAACCACAGGUCUCUGCAAAGUUGUAAUAUGAUGUAUAGAGACUGACGCCUGCCCGGUGCUGCAAGUAUAAUAGAAAAAGUUAAGGCUUUGACUAGAAACCCCAGUAAACGGCGGCUGUAACUCUGACGGUCCAAAGGUAGCGAAAUUCCUUGGCAUUUAAUUGGUGUCCUGCAUGAAUGGCGUAACGACUGUCCUACUGUCUCCAACACAACCUCAGUGAAAUUGAAUUCUCCGUGAAGAUGCGGAGUACCUACGGCUAGACGGAAAGACCCCGUGCACCUUUACUAUAGUUAUGUAUUGUAAUAAAAACUUUUAUGUGUAGAAUAUGUGGGAAGUCAUUUUAAGAUGUUUACGCAAGUAAAUAAUUGAGACGUCAGUGAAAUACCACUCUUAAAAUUUUUUAUUACUCAUUUUUUAAGACAUUGCAUAAUGGGUAGUUUGACUGGGGCGGUCGCCUCCUAAAGAGUAACGGAGGCGUACAAAGGUAAGUUCAAAUUAAAAAAUUUUAAUUGUAGAGCGUAAUAGUAUAUUGCUUGCCUGACUGCAAGAUUGACAAAUCGAGCAGGGACGAAAGUCGGUUAUAGUGAUCCGGUGAUUCUGUGUGGAAAAGAUCAUCGCUCAACGGAUAAAAGGUACGCCGGGGAUAACAGGCUAAUCACUCUCUAGAGACCCUAUCGACGGAGUGGUUUGGCACCUCGAUGUUGGAUUAUCGCAUCCUGGAGCUGUAAGUGGUUCCAAGGGUUUGGCUGUUCGCCAAGGAAGGCGGUACAUGAUCUGAGUUUAGAACGUCGUGAGACAGUUUGGUCCCUAUCUACCGUAGGCAUUAAAAAAUUGAGAAGAUUAAACCCUAGUACGAGAGGACCGGGAAAAGUAAACCUAUGGUGUAUCGAUUGUCACACCAGUGGCAUAGUCGAGUAGCUAAGUUUAUAACAGAUAAUCGCUGAAAGCAUCUAAGCGAGAAACUGACUUUGAGAUUGAUUUUUUAAAAGACGUAGUAGAAGACUACGUGGAUAGGCUUAAUGUGUAAGAGCUGUAAAGUUUUUAGCAAAUAAGUACUAACCUC